GCUGGGAUAGUGAAGCGGUCAAACACGGCUGACUGUAAAUCAGCUGGCUCAGCCUUCGGGGGUUCGAAUCCCUCUCCCAGCACCA
rnacentral:tRNA from 1 species